AAAUUGAAGAGUUUGAUCAUGGCUCAGAUUGAACGCUGGCGGCAGGCCUAACACAUGCAAGUCGAACGGUAACAGGAAGCAGCUUGCUGCUUUGCUGACGAGUGGCGGACGGGUGAGUAAUGUCUGGGAAACUGCCUGAUGGAGGGGGAUAACUACUGGAAACGGUAGCUAAUACCGCAUAAUGUCGCAAGACCAAAGAGGGGGACCUUCGGGCCUCUUGCCAUCGGAUGUGCCCAGAUGGGAUUAGCUAGUAGGUGGGGUAACGGCUCACCUAGGCGACGAUCCCUAGCUGGUCUGAGAGGAUGACCAGCCACACUGGAACUGAGACACGGUCCAGACUCCUACGGGAGGCAGCAGUGGGGAAUAUUGCACAAUGGGCGCAAGCCUGAUGCAGCCAUGCCGCGUGUAUGAAGAAGGCCUUCGGGUUGUAAAGUACUUUCAGCGGGGAGGAAGGCGAUAAGGUUAAUAACCUUGUCGAUUGACGUUACCCGCAGAAGAAGCACCGGCUAACUCCGUGCCAGCAGCCGCGGUAAUACGGAGGGUGCAAGCGUUAAUCGGAAUUACUGGGCGUAAAGCGCACGCAGGCGGUCUGUCAAGUCGGAUGUGAAAUCCCCGGGCUCAACCUGGGAACUGCAUUCGAAACUGGCAGGCUAGAGUCUUGUAGAGGGGGGUAGAAUUCCAGGUGUAGCGGUGAAAUGCGUAGAGAUCUGGAGGAAUACCGGUGGCGAAGGCGGCCCCCUGGACAAAGACUGACGCUCAGGUGCGAAAGCGUGGGGAGCAAACAGGAUUAGAUACCCUGGUAGUCCACGCCGUAAACGAUGUCGACUUGGAGGUUGUGCCCUUGAGGCGUGGCUUCCGGAGCUAACGCGUUAAGUCGACCGCCUGGGGAGUACGGCCGCAAGGUUAAAACUCAAAUGAAUUGACGGGGGCCCGCACAAGCGGUGGAGCAUGUGGUUUAAUUCGAUGCAACGCGAAGAACCUUACCUACUCUUGACAUCCAGAGAACUUUCCAGAGAUGGAUUGGUGCCUUCGGGAACUCUGAGACAGGUGCUGCAUGGCUGUCGUCAGCUCGUGUUGUGAAAUGUUGGGUUAAGUCCCGCAACGAGCGCAACCCUUAUCCUUUGUUGCCAGCGGUCCGGCCGGGAACUCAAAGGAGACUGCCAGUGAUAAACUGGAGGAAGGUGGGGAUGACGUCAAGUCAUCAUGGCCCUUACGAGUAGGGCUACACACGUGCUACAAUGGCGCAUACAAAGAGAAGCGACCUCGCGAGAGCAAGCGGACCUCAUAAAGUGCGUCGUAGUCCGGAUUGGAGUCUGCAACUCGACUCCAUGAAGUCGGAAUCGCUAGUAAUCGUGGAUCAGAAUGCCACGGUGAAUACGUUCCCGGGCCUUGUACACACCGCCCGUCACACCAUGGGAGUGGGUUGCAAAAGAAGUAGGUAGCUUAACCUUCGGGAGGGCGCUUACCACUUUGUGAUUCAUGACUGGGGUGAAGUCGUAACAAGGUAACCGUAGGGGAACCUGCGGUUGGAUCACCUCCUUACCUUAAAGAA
rnacentral:rRNA from 1 species